UACGUAGGAUCCAAGCGUUAUCCGGAAUCAUUGGGUUUAAAGGGUCCGUAGGCGGGACAAUAAGUCAGUGGUGAAAGUCUGCAGCUCAACUGUAGAAUUGCGAUUGAUACUGUUAACCUUGAGUAAUUAUGAAGUGGUUAGAAUAUGUAGUGUAGCGGUGAAAUGCAUAGAUAUUACAUAGAAUACCGAUUGCGAAGGCAGAUCACUUAUAAAAUACUGACGCUGAUGGACGAAAGCGUAGGUAGCGAACAGG
rnacentral:misc_RNA from 1 species